AGCGUACGCUGGCGGCAGGCCUAACACAUGCAAGUCGAACGAACUCUUCGGAGUUAGUGGCGGACGGGUGAGUAACACGUGGGAACGUGCCUUUUGGUUCGGUAUAACUCAGGGAAACUUGUGCUAAUACCGAAUGUGCCCUUCGGGGGAAAGAUUUAUCGCCAUUGGAGCGGCCCGCGUCUGAUUAGCUAGUUGGUGAGGUAACGGCUCACCAAGGCGACGAUCAGUAGCUGGUCUGAGAGGAUGACCAGCCACGCUGGGACUGAGACACGGCCCAGACUCCUACGGGAGGCAGCAGUGGGGAAUCUUGCGCAAUGGGCGAAAGCCUGACGCAGCCAUGCUGCGUGAAUGAUGAAGGUCUUAGGAUUGUAAAAUUCUUUCACCGGGGACGAUAAUGACGGUACCCGGAGAAGAGGCCCCGGCUAACUUCGUG
rnacentral:rRNA from 1 species